rnacentral:rRNA from 1 species
GAUGAACGCUAGCUACAGGCUUAACACAUGCAAGUCGAGGGGAAACGACAUUGAAGCUUGCUUCGAUGGGCGUCGACCGGCGCACGGGUGAGUAACGCGUAUCCAACCUGCCUCUGACUAAGGGAUAACCCGGCGAAAGUCGGACUAAUACCUUAUGAGGUUUUCUGCAGACAUCUAACGAAAACGAAAGAUUUAUCGGUCAGUGAUGGGGAUGCGUCUGAUUAGCUUGUUGGCGGGGUAACGGCCCACCAAGGCAACGAUCAGUAGGGGUUCUGAGAGGAAGGUCCCCCACAUUGGAACUGAGACACGGUCCAAACUCCUACGGGAGGCAGCAGUGAGGAAUAUUGGUCAAUGGACGAGAGUCUGAACCAGCCAAGUAGCGUGCAGGAUGACGGCCCUAUGGGUUGUAAACUGCUUUUGUAUGGGGAUAAAGUCAAUCACGUGUGAUUGU